rnacentral:rRNA from 1 species
AGAGUUUGAUCAGUCGGCUCAGAGCGAACGCUGGCGGCAGGCCUAAAACAUGCAAGUCGAACGGAUCCUUCGGGAUUAGUGGCGGACGGGUGAGUAACACGUGGGAACGUGCCUUUUGGUUCGGAACAACUCAGGGAAACUUGAGCUAAUACCGAAUGUGCCCUUCGGGGGAAAGAUUUAUCGCCAUUAGAGCGGCCCGCGUCUGAUUAGCUUGUUGGUGAGGUAAAGGCUCACCAAGGCGACGAUCAGUAGCUGGUCUGAGAGGAUGAUCAGCCACACUGGGACUGAGACACGGCCCAGACUCCUACGGGAGGCAGCAGUUAGGAAUCUUGCGCAAUGGGGGAAACCCUGACGCAGCCAUGCCGCGUGAAUGAUGAAGGUCUUAGGAUUGUAAAAUUCUUUCAGCGGGGACGAUAAUGACGGUACCCGCAGAAGAAGCCCCGGCUAACUUCGUG